AAAUCUUUGUAACGAUUAGUUUGUGUGAAAGCUGUCCGACACAUUAAAAUUAAAAAUGUAGUUAAUGGAAUGUAAUAUAAUUAUUUUUUCAUCUUUUGAUCAGCGAUAACAUUGGCAAUUUUUCUCAAAACUACAGUAGCGCGUUACAUAAUGGAAUACUAAAUUAAUUCUAUACAGUUUGUAAUCCUAUAAUAAAAAGUAAAGUGACGAAAAGAGGAUAAAAAGUAUGACAAGUCUUUGAAAGAAGAAAUAUUAAGAGCAUUGCAUUGUAUACAAAACUUUUAUUUAUUUAACGAUAUAUAUUUAUGGAAUAUAUUUAUGGGAUUAUACUUUCCAUUAGGUACAUGUCGUUUGAAAAGCUUUUCCUUAUAUUUCUUUCCUUUACACACUUGAAACGUAUACUGAGAGAUUUGCAAUGUACUCACCCGAUGAUUUUAACAUAAACCGUAGUAUAUAAUUGUCUCUUUAUGUUUUAUAAAAUAUAAAUCAAGAUUCUGUCCUUCCUCCCCUUCUCUCUCUCUGUCUGUCUAAUGAUCUCUAGAAUAUACAAAUGGAUACUCCAUUUCAUUUCAAGUUCUUUCUACAUAUUAAAUUGCAACUUAAAAGUAGAGAGAAAGUUAUCAGCCGCACACAGUUUCAAUAAGAUACGUAUAUGGAUCGAGCACACAGCGAAGGCACUCCAUCUUGGAGCUGUAUCGCAAGACAGAGUGAAGAAAGUAGCGAUUCUUUAUCCCAUAAACAAGAU